AUUUUACUCAAAAAUAAAUUCAUCUGCUAAAAAUCUCCCAUGAAAUUACAUUGUAAUAUAAAGAACAAAGUAGAAGGGUCUGCGCAACAUCAAAACUAGAUCUGAAAUCAGCAAAUAACCAAAACCAUAAGUAAACAGAACUUCUAAAUUCUGAGGUUGAAAAUUAUAGCCAAGUCUCCAUGGUUUUUUUCCCAUUAAAGAAAAAUCCGCAAAUUAUAAAAGGACAACUAUGAUCCCUAAGACAUUCUUUGAGCGGCUUCUUUGGCGAGCAGCUUCUCCUUGGCUUUCGUUUUAGCCUGGGACUUGGAGCCCAUGAUUCCACCUCCCCAUUUCUUUCUGUAUUCAUCGUACUUGUCGUUGAAAUUGGCCUUAAUGGCUUCAAGAAUCCUGCUGAACUCCAACUUAUCUUCAUUCUUGACAGUCGUCAAGCACAAAACAGAUGCAGUCUUUUUGUGGACAAUCGCUCCCAAUCGUGCUUUUCCCUUCACAAUGCAAUAUGGGAUUUCCAUCUUCCUGCAGAGGGCUGGGAGCCAAACAACCAACUCAAUCGGAUCCACAUCAUGGGCAAUCACAACCAGCUGUGCUUUGUUCUGCUCAAUAAGGUAGGUGACAUGGUUGAGACCGUAUUUCACAACAAUAGGUUUUUUAGCAUCAUGUGGCUUGCCUUCAGCCUCUUCCUGAGCUCUUUUUAGAAGGCGUUCCCUUUUCUGUGAUUUGUCCUCUGGCCUAUACUUCAAAAGCAUCUUGAACAGGUUUGUUGCAAGGUUUUUGUCAAGGGUCUUAGUGAACUGAUUCAAAGCUGGUGGAACCUUCAACCUCUGUUUAAGAAUUCGCUUCUUCCUCUGAAUUUGAACAACUUUUGGCCAUUUAACAAAUCGGGUCAAAUCCCUCUUUGGUGGAAUUGCACCACCAAUUCCAAACUGCUUCGGACGCUUCUCAAAUAGUGGGUUCACCACCUUCUCCGGCUUCUUUUUUGCCAAGGCUUUUCCAACAGCCUUCUUUGGUGCCAUUUUGCG
rnacentral:misc_RNA from 1 species